AGAGCUGAAAACAACCUAGAUGUCCCACGACAGAAAAAUGGAUACAGAAAAUGUGGUCAUUUCCACAUGGAAUACUACUUGGCUAUUAAGAAUGAGGACAUCCUGAGCUUUGCAGGCAAAUAGAUGGAACUAGAAAAUAUCAUCCUGAGUGAGGAACUAUUCAGUACUAAUUGCCAGCAGCUCUUUUUGCUCUGGUGAGGAUAAAGUCAAUAAGAUAAUAUUUUCUCACAAAGAAAUGGAGAAGAACAAAAAAUAAGAUUGUCUGAUGCUAAUACUAUGAAUAAUAAUCAAAGAAAGGAAAGACCUGUGGAAAUGAAGGGUUCAAGAAUACAACCUAUCUUAUGCUACCAUAAUUUAGAAUACAGGAGAUGGCUAACCCAUGGGACUUGGAAAAUCCAGGAUUAACUAGUUAAACUGUCCAGAAAGCUCUGAUCUCAGCUGUUCACUGGCAGAACAGAUUGCCUCCCAAAUGUGAGAGAGCCAUAAGCAAAGACAAGUCUGGCUUGAGUAGAAGUCUGUAUCAUUCACUGAAGAAAGGAGUAAAUGACUGAGGAAGAUCAUGUCACCCAUUGGCAUCCACAUGUAUCUGAAAAGAAGUCCAUGUGCCCCUCCCUGCAUGCAUGUGAAAACGUACAUGCAUGCGCAACACAGAUGCAGAAUGAGUUUCUAGUAUUGCAUCAAGCUAUUGGACUAUGAUUAGCUGCGAUGUUAAUUUCGGGUAAAGUGAUGCUUCUGCAUCAUCUUCCUCAGAAGAAAGAAUGAUCAGUUGUACUGCACUGG
ensembl:antisense